rnacentral:rRNA from 1 species
GACAGAGGGUGCAAACGUUGCUCGGAAUUACUGGGCGUAAAGCGCGUGUAGGCGGACUGGUGUGUCGGAUGUGAAAUCCCCAGGCUCAACCUGGGAACUGCAUUCGAAACUGCCAGCCUUGAGUGGUGGAGAGGGAAGUGGAAUUCCUGGUGUAGAGGUGAAAUUCGUAGAUAUCAGGAGGAACACCGGUGGCGAAGGCGGGUCUCUGGGCCGAUACUGACGCUGAGGAGCGAAAGCGUGGGGAGCGAACAGG